UAAGACUGAAGGGAACGGGG
rnacentral:piRNA from 1 species